GCAAGAUAAACAUUCCUGAACUGAAAUACAUUUCUGUUUUCCAGACCUGCAGCAAAAACAGCAAGUGAAAGAAAUAAGGUACUGUAAAAUUAGUUUCUUGAUAAAUAGUUUUAUCAGCUUUUAAUCACUCAGAUAGGAUCUGUCAGAUAUGGACUGUGACUUAAAGAAUGAGUAAUUUAUACUAUUAUAUAGUUGUAUACAGAAAACACUCCAUUGUUUGUAGGUCCGCAUACAAAUGGAUGUAACUGAUGACCUUGAUUUCACUCAUUCAUCUGACACAACAUCAGAGGAUGUCAAACUACCAACAUCCACCUGCAGAGAGGCUGUGUUGCUCUUAGAACAGCUUACUGUGGAUCAUGCAGGUUCUGUUAUUUUACUGAAAAUUCAAAACAUGCUUCUUAAAUAUGAACAAAUAAUAGAGCAUGAAAAAAAUCGGUAUGCAGCAGUCUCGAGAGAAGUAAGAAAGUUGGAAAGUGAAAAGGAAAAAUCAAAAUUACUAGCAGAAGAGACUUGAAGAUUUGAAAUCCGUAUUGGCUCAUCAAGAAGUGGAAUGGAAGAGUGAUAUCCAAAGCCUUAAGUAUGUAAUCUUGUGUUCUGAUAAUGUGUUAC
rnacentral:lncRNA from 12 species